CUGAGACCGUGGCCGAAGCCAUGAUGAAAAUAUUCUCAAGAGUAGGGUUCCCACAGGAAAUGGUCUCCGAUAGGGGGACACAAUUCACGGCUGAGGUUACUCAGCAGUUAUGGAGGAUAUGUGGCAUUAAGCCAAUCCUUAACUCAGCCUACCACCCUCAAUCCAACGGAUUAUGUGAGAGGUUCAACGGUACCCUAAAACAGAUGCUUCGGACAUUCGGAGAGACCCAUAAGGACUGGGAACGAUUCCUUCCCCAUCUGUUGUUUGCUUACAGAGAGGUACCCCAAGAGUCUACCGGUUUCUCCCCAUUUGAACUGUUAUUUGGGAGAAGGGUCCGGGGACCGUUGGAUCUCAUUAGGGAGCAUUGGGAG